rnacentral:rRNA from 1 species
AGCUUGAACGCUGGCGGCGUGGCUAAGACAUGCAAGUCGUACGGUGUAGCAAUACACAGUGGCGAACGGGAGAGUAAUGAAUCGCUAAUGUGCCCCGGACUCUGGGAUAGCCAGUCGAAAGAUUGGGUAAUACCAGAUGACAUAUCUUUAUCGCAUGAUAGAGAUCUCAAAGGUCCGCCGGUCUGGGAGCAGGCGAUUUCGUAUCAGCUAGUUGGUGAGGUAACGGCUCACCAAGGCGACGACGCGUAGCCGGACUGAGAGGUUGGCCGGCCUCAUUGGGACUGAGACACUGCCCAGACUCCUACGGGGGGCUGCAGUAACGAAUCUUCCGCAAUGCACGAAAGUGUGACGGAGCGACGCCGCGUGUGGGACGAAGUCCUUCGGGAUGUAAACCACUGUCAGAGGUUACCAAGUUCUGAGGAGCCCAGAGGAAGGACGGCUAACUCUGCGCCAGCAGCGCGGU